GACGAACGCUGGCGGCGUGCUUAACACAUGCAAGUCGAACGGAAAGGCCCUGCUUUUGUGGGGUGCUCGAGUGGCGAACGGGUGAGUAACACGUGAGUAACCUGCCCUUGACUUUGGGAUAACUUCAGGAAACUGGGGCUAAUACCGGAUAGGAGCUCCUGCUGCAUGGUGGGGGUUGGAAAGUUUCGGCGGUUGGGGAUGGACUCGCGGCUUAUCAGCUUGUUGGUGGGGUAGUGGCUUACCAAGGCUUUGACGGGUAGCCGGCCUGAGAGGGUGACCGGCCACAUGGGGACUGAGAUAGGGCGCAGUCUCGUACGGGAGGCAGUAGUGGGGAGUAUUGCACAAUGGGAGGAAGCCUGAUGAAGCAGCGCCGCGUGUGGGAAGACGGCCUGCGGGUUGUGAACCGCUUUAGCCUGUGACGACGCGUUAGUGACGGUAAUGGGUAAAGAAGCACCGGCUAACUACGUG
rnacentral:rRNA from 1 species